ACGUAGUUUUAGAUAUAAAAAUAAAAUAAAAUACAUUGGAGAUGAUGUAAGAGAUAUAUAAGUUUUUUACAGAAUCUUGUAGUUUCAUGCAGUGGUUGAUAGCUAAAACUGAAAAUCGCAAUCAGAUGGAUCUAAUUAAGAAGCACUUUAAAACUUUUUAAUAGAUAAAGCAUUGUUUUCUGUAGAUUAUAUACAUUUUUGUUUUGUAUAUACAUCUGUAACGACCCAAAUCUCGGCCCGGAAAUAUUUAGCCCAGUAAGACCCAAUUGCAUUGAAGAAAACCCUAAAGUUUUCUUAUUUAAGAUGAGAUUUCGUGGUGGCCUCUGACAUAGACUUUUGGGGAUGGAAAAGCCCUGCCGGAACGGCACCGGAACAGCCACAAAUAGCCACCAUGAAAGAGAAGUCAUCCUACCAUCCGAAAAGAGAGAGUAGAGCUCUGCAGACAUGUUUUGGGGGAAUAGAAGAACGAUCGAUCAAAUAUGAGUAUUCCGAAGCUAAAUUUUGAGAUCGGAUCCGCGAACAGUCAACUUCAUCAGCGUUUUACCGUUGAUACAGAAGGAACCAGGGAACGGGCGAGAUAUCAUUGGAAAGAUCUCGAUUCCAGAUUUUCAGAUCAUCUAUCCGAUUGUCAAGUCGACGUACGGUUAGAAAGUUAUUGACAUUUCUUCUUGGCGAAGAAUAAAGCUGUUGAGUUGUAGAGACAGUUCCGACCAGUCUCGGUGUAAGUCAGAAACGGUAGACAGAAACAAAGUCUUUCAGUCUGUAAAUUUUUCAGUAAGUAGUUAACUCCCACAUCUAUCAUCUCCUGCCAGCGGAUCGUUAUUCCGAGUUAUUUUCUGAGAGUUAUACUUGUUUUCGUGAGAGGUGUUGGUGCAGUUUGCGUUUACGACCAGCCUGGAGAUGAAGCUACUUUGGUUAAGCAAAUGGUGUCCGAUCGGAGUAAACUUGGUGUCUACGGAUAGAGGACAUAUAGGACUACAUUAUGACCGGAGGGAUCUAAAGGUUAACGGUCAGUUCUUGAGUUAUUCAUCUGUUUUCUCUAUGGUUCAGCUCUGCCAGAAUAUCAUAUUGAUCUAAUUUCAGAGAGCUCCGGAGUUGCUUUGUUAGAGCCGUCAAGGUCCAUUCGGGGUUUCCUCAGGUUUCUUCAGAACCCGUGGAAAAGAUGAGAAUGACGAGCAGGAGUGAUUGCUAUCGGGCUGGUGCUUUGGGAGUUUUAUUUCCUUUCAUUUUCAGACUUGCAGUUUUUAUGCUUUUACUGAUAUUUUUGAGAUUUAUUAUGUUAUUUGGAUUUUUGGCUAUUUAUUGGAUUUACGACUUUGGAAUUGACUUUUGAGAAGUAAUAAAUGGAGAUUUCAGACUUAUUAUUUAUUUAAGUUAUUUCGAAAAAUACGGGUGUUACAACAUCAUUGUAAACUUUAUCUUUAUCUAAAAGUAAAAAAAAAAAAAACAGAAGCUUAAUCUCGAUAUUAUUCUGAUGAGAUGUAACCACGAAUUUGGUCAAAGUAUAGUUUAUUCACGCAAACUAUUAAACUAACAAAACCUUAUAUAUAAAUCAGAAGUAAGGGAAACACUUCAUCUGUAAUACCCAUGCAUAAACCCUAGGCUGUACUAUCACAUUCGACGCUGAUGUCCACACCGGACGAGUUUCUUCAACUGAUACAGAAACUUACGAGCAGUUGAUAUGUGGCGACGUAUGUCUGCAUUGGAUUUGGCCUUCUUCAAACUGUAGUUCUUCAGAUAGAUGCAACGACGUCGUCUAUAAUCGUCUUCCUGACUCAAUAGAAAGUCUGCACUCAGUUUUUCUGAAGUUACUUCUUCAUCACGUAUUGACUUCUUUGGGUUUCCUUCUUGAUCCCAAACUUUUCCAUAGAUCCAGUUCUCGUUUUCCAUAAUCGAUAAUAUAGCAGAUUUUUCUUCUAUCUAGCUCUCUAUAUAAAAGAAAAAAACUGACGGAUAAAUUCAUUAGUGGUAGAUAUUAGGGUAUAUAUACAGCCUUUUUUUUCCUUUUUUGAAAUGUUAAAUAUACUGGAUUAUUUAGAGAAUUUUAUUUACAAAAAAUAUAUAUCCAUUAACAAAAAAAGAGAAAAAUAACUCAUUAACAUAAACUCUCUGUGACGACCCGGUUUCCUUAACAGGUUUGGUUUGUUUCCUAAUUAUUAUUUUUUUAAUUAAACCAAAGUGAUAUAUCAGAUCAGCAACUGAACCAGAGGUCAACCCAAAACCCUACUCAACCAGCCAAGGUGCCAACCAAGACAAAUGUGCACUAAAAAAGCCAUAUCUUACAAACCAGGAGGGUUUAAAUGACGAGGCUAAUUUUUAUGGAUUCUACACUCAAAAAGGAAUCCAGGAAAAUUGGAAUCGGUCCAAAAUAAUCACGGAACAAGAAGUUAUGAAUUUUACAAGUCAGAGGUUUCUUAUCCCGUCCAUCUGCGAGUACCCAACUUUAGAAGAGGAUUCAAACCCAAAGAAGAAUUGGCCUGAACCAAAACCGAUCAUAGGAGUCAAGAGGAGUUUAUCAGCUUGAAAGCCCAAGAUCAGGAGAAAUGACCACGGAAAUUAGGAGAUAUGAUCAAUUUCCCAAAACCGGUCAAACCAGUUCUACACUUGCCUUAUUUGGAAGAUCCGGGGUUCAAAUCAAACCAACCUCAAGAAUGGCAACCAGGCUACCUUAUAAGUCAUUCAGAGGCACUCCAAAACAUCCUCGGAAGCACCAAGCCACACUAUAUCAGUCGGAUCCCAAUCAAACCAAAAGAUCAAGCCGGUUUGCAUCAAUUGGCCAAACCGACAUCAUUUAAGGAAAGUCUUCAACCAAUUCAACUAGGUUCGACCCAGAGAUAUUUAUGGGAACCAGGAGAUACUUUAGACCAUUCAGAAGAUAUCCAAGACGUCCUUAGCUGCACCAGCACCCAGGAGAUCAGGCGGAUCUCUCUCUCCAUCAACAUUCCAUAUAUGGCCACAAUUACACUAAAUGCUUUG